AAUUCCUGACUUAAUAUGAUGCUGCACCUGUGAAUCCAUAAUCAUCUCCCUUCAAACAUAUAAGUAGGACAAUAUAUAAAAAAAAUGGAGAAAAUCUCAGCAUUUCUUGCCAUCCUCCUCCUGGUCUCGUCAUGCAUGGUGAAAGAGACUGUGACGCAGAAUAUUGUAGAAUGUAAAACAGAUGAAGAUUGUGUGAAGCAGAAGUAUAGCUGUCCGAUCUCAGGGGAUCCGCCAGUUUGCCUCGACUAUUUCUGUAGCUGUUUCCAUCAUGAAAUGCAUACUCCUGCAUCGACAAACUCCAACUCUUGAUGAUAUUCAUGUUGAUUUGAAUAAUGAAAAGGCUAUAUAUAUAACUCUUUCAUCGUUAUCUUCUCUCCAUGCAUCUUCCUUCUGAAAUGUAUCUCUAUAAUAAGUUAACUAGAUUUUGAUCCGCGCUUAGAAAGCGCGGAUUUAUUUUUUAAAUUUAAUAAUUUUUAAUAUAAA